rnacentral:hammerhead_ribozyme from 1 species
ACUCAGCUGAAGAGUCCUAAAUAGGACGAAACGUGCAUCUUGAAU